rnacentral:rRNA from 1 species
GACGAACGCUGGCGGCGCGCUUAACACAUGCAAGUCGAGCGAGAACCAGUCCUUCGGGACUGGGGACAGCGGCGAACGGGUGAGUAACACGUGGGUAAUCUGCCCUCGGCACCGGAAUAGCCCGGGGAAACCCGGAUUAAUGCCGGAUGGCCUCUCUGCCCCUCGGGGCGGAGAGAAAAGGUAGCUUCGGCCUCUGGCCGAGGAUGAGCCCGCGGCCGAUUAGCUUGUUGGUGGGGUAACGGCUCACCAAGGGGACGGUCGGUAGCUGGGCUGAGAGGACGAUCAGCCACACUGGGACUGAGACACGGCCCAGACUCCUACGGGAGGCAGCAGUGGGGAAUCUUGCGCAAUGGGCGAAAGCCUGACGCAGCGACGCCGCGUGCGGGAAGAAGGCCUUCGGGUUGUAAACCGCUUUCAGGAGGGACGAAGCCACUCGGGUGAAUAGCCUAGAGGGUGACGGUACCUCAAGAAGAAGCCCCGGCUAACUACGUGCCAGCCGCCGCCGUAAGAC